UAGCAAACCAAUGCAGCCUGGUAGCC
rnacentral:piRNA from 1 species